rnacentral:rRNA from 1 species
UACGUAUGGUGCAAGCGUUGUUCGGAAUUAUUGGGUGUAAAGGGUAUGUAGGCGGAAUUGUAAGUCAGAUGUGAAAUCUAAGGGCUCAACCCUUAGCCUGCAUUUGAUACUGUGAUUCUAGAGUUUGGGAGAGGCAAGCGGAAUUCCUGGUGUAGCGGUGAAAUGCGUAGAUAUCAGGAAGAACACCGGUGGCGAAAGCGGCUUGCUGGCCUAAAACUGACGCUGAGAUACGAAAGUGUGGGGAGCGAACGGG